rnacentral:rRNA from 1 species
UACGGAGGGAGCAAGCGUUACUCGGAAUUAUUGGGCGUAAAGGGCGCGUAGGCGAUUUGAAAAGUCUUGUGUGAAAGCCCCGAGCUUAACUCGGGAAGUGCACAAGAAACUGUUGAAUUUGAGUUCCGGAGAGGAAGGCAGAAUUCCCGGUGUAGCGGUGAAAUGCGUAGAUAUCGGGAGGAAUACCAGUGGCGAAGGCGGCCUUCUGGACGGAUACUGACGCUGAGGCGCGAAAAGCCAGGGGGAGCAAAGCGGGG